rnacentral:rRNA from 1 species
CUUGAAGGGUCGUUCAAGACCAGGACGUUGAUAGGUCAGGUGUGGAAGCGCAGUAAUGCGUUAAGCUAACUGAUACUAAUUGCCCGUAAGGCUUGAUCCUAUAACC